rnacentral:rRNA from 1 species
GAUGAACGCUGGCGGCGUGCUUAACACAUGCAAGUCGAACGAAGCACCUUGAUCUGAUUCUUCGGAUGAAGAUCCUGGUGACUGAGUGGCGGACGGGUGAGUAACGCGUGGGUAACCUGCCUCAUACAGGGGGAUAACAGUUAGAAAUGACUGCUAAUACCGCAUAAGACCACAGUACCGCAUGGUACAGGGGUAAAAACUCCGGUGGUAUGAGAUGGACCCGCGUCUGAUUAGGUAGUUGGUGGGGUAACGGCCUACCAAGCCGACGAUCAGUAGCCGACCGGAGAGGGUGACCGGCCACAUUGGGACUGGGACACGGCCCAAACUCCUACGGGAGGCAGCAGUGGGGAAUAUUGCACAAUGGGGGAAACCCUUAUGCAGCGACGCCGCGUGAGCGAUGAAGUAUUUCGGUAUGUAAAGCUCUAUCAGCAGGGAAGAAAAUGACGGUACCUGACUAAGAAGCACCGGCUAAAUACGUGCCAGCCGCCGCAGUAA